rnacentral:rRNA from 1 species
GCCGCGUGAGUGAAGAAGGCCUUCGGGUUGUAAAGCUCUUUCGGCCGGGAAGAAAUCGUGUUCUCUAACAUAGGGCAUGGAUGACGGUACCGGACUAAGAAGCACCGGCUAACUACGUGCCAGCAGCCGCGGUAAUACGUAGGGUGCGAGCGUUAAUCGGAAUUACUGGGCGUAAAGCGUGCGCAGGCGGUUUUGUAAGACAGAUGUGAAAUCCCCGGGCUUAACCUGGGAACUGCGUUUGUGACUGCAAGGCUAGAGUACGGCAGAGGGGGGUGGAAUUCCUGGUGUAGCAGUGAAAUGCGUAGAUAUCAGGAGGAACACCGAUGGCGAAGGCAGCCCCCUGGGCCUGUACUGACGCUCAUGCACGAAAGCGUGGGGAGCAAACAGGAUUAGAUACCCUGGUAGUCCACGCCCUAAACGAUGUCGACUAGUCGUUCGGAGCAGCAAUGCACUGAGUGACGCAGCUAACGCGUGAAGUCGACCGCCUGGGGAGUACGGCCGCAAGGUUAAAACUCAAAGGAAUU